rnacentral:rRNA from 1 species
AACGAACGCUGGCGGCAUGCCUAACACAUGCCAGUCGAACGAUACCUUCGGGUCUAGUGGCGCACGGGUGCGUAACGCGUGGGAACCUGCCCUUAGGUUCGGAAUAACUCUCCGAAAGGGGUGCUAAUACCGGUUAAUUUCUUCGGACCAAAGAUUAAUCCGUGUUGGAUGGUCCCGCGUUGGAUUAGCUUGUUGGUAGGGUAAAGGCCUACCAAGGCGACGAUGGGUAGCCGGCCUGAGAGGGUGAUCGGCCACACUGGGACUGAGACACGGCCCAGACUCGUACGGGAGGCAGCAGAGGAGAAUAUUGCACAGUGGGCGGAAGCCUGAUGCAGCGACGCCGCGUGGGGGAAGACGGGAUGCGGGUAGGAAACCUCUUUCAGCUGGGAAGAAGCGAAAGUGACGGUACCGGGAGAAGAAGCACCGGCUAACUACGUG